GUGGGGAAUAUUGGACAAUGGGCGCAAGCCUGAUCCAGCCAUACCGCGUGGGUGAAGAAGGCCUUCGGGUUGUAAAGCCCUUUUGUUGGGAAAGAAAUCCUGUCGGUUAAUACCUGGCGGGGAUGACGGUACCCAAAGAAUAAGCACCGGCUAACUUCGUGCCAGCAGCCGCGGUAAUACGAAGGGUGCAAGCGUUACUCGGAAUUACUGGGCGUAAAGCGUGCGUAGGUGGUGGUUUAAGUCCGUUGUGAAAGCCCUGGGCUCAACCUGGGAAUUGCAGUGGAUACUGGAUCACUAGAGUGUGGUAGAGGGAUGCGGAAUUUCUGGUGUAGCAGUGAAAUGCGUAGAGAUCAGAAGGAACAUCCGUGGCGAAGGCGGCAUCCUGGGCCAACACUGACACUGAGGCACGAAAGCGUGGGGAGCAAACAGGAUUAGAAACCCCUGUAGUCC
rnacentral:rRNA from 1 species